rnacentral:rRNA from 1 species
CAGUAGCCACGGGAAUACGAAGGGGGCUAGCGUUGUUCGGAUUUACUGGGCGUAAAGCGCACGUAGGCGGACUUUUAAGUCAGGGGUGAAAUCCCGGGGCUCAACCCCGGAACUGCCUUUGAUACUGGAAGUCUUGAGUAUGGUAGAGGUGAGUGGAAUUCCGAGUGUAGAGGUGAAAUUCGUAGAUAUUCGGAGGAACACCAGUGGCGAAGGCGGCUCACUGGACCAUUACUGACGCUGAGGUGCGAAAGCGUGGGGAGCAAACAGGAUUAGAGACCCCAGUAGUCCCUGUCUCUUAUAA